UUUUGUAUUAUUUGGUCCCUCUACUUACCUAUUUUUGAUUUUCAGGUCCUUUUUGAGUUUUUUCCAGUCCCUCUACUUACAAUUUUUGUUUCCUCCAGUCCCUCUACUUUCAAUUUUUGUUUCCUCCAGCCACACAAAAGGACCGGAAAAAACUCAUAAAGGACCUGAAAAUCAAAAAUAGGUAAGUAGAGGGACCAAAUAAUACAAAAAUAAAGUAUAAGGACCUACGGAAAAAAAUGUGUAAAGUACAAGGACCUCUAUAUGGGUUAGGCCUUAUUAUUACUAUUCAUCUUUUUAUUUUGGCAUCAGAAUGUUGCAAAUUUUAUUGUUUUUAGCUGGUUUGUGAUUAGUAUUGAGUGUGUGAAUGGAGCAUCAACUAUAAAAAUGGGAAACAUGUCAAAAAUAGAAGAUGCAGUGAACUUUCAUGUUUAUUAUGGAUAAUUUUCAAUUUUCACGUUUAUAAUGGACAAUUUCAGUGAAUUUACAGUGAAAAUAGAAGUUGCGGUGAUUAAGUAAUGAGUAUUCUCUUGCAUUUGAGUGGAGGAGCAUAAUCGUUAUGAAAGUCCAAUUCUUUCAUGAUAGAAUCCCAAUCGAAAUUCUGCAACACAUUGAUCAAGAAAGGAUAAGUUAAAGACGACGACACUGAGUUGCCGGAACUAGAACUUGGCUGUAAAGCAGACAGAAGAAACCACCGCGACAGGCGGCAGUGAACCCAGACGCAUAGUUAAGAAGCUCGGGCUGAAUUUUGGAAGCAAAGACAUAAAUCUGAGAAAGCCAUCACCAAGAGAUGAUAACUCAGAUGGGCAACCGUUCUCCUCCUUCGUACAAAAGAUCAAAAAAAAUGGAAAACCAAUGAGAAACGGCUUCCACUGCCACAAAUAAACUUCUUCCGCUGCCGAUUGGUGAGAAACACGGCUGGAGAUGAAAGAACGUCUGAUGCCGCCGUUGAUCGAGAUCUCACUGCUACCGGCGAAAAAAGCAAACGCUGCAAAGAUCUGCCGAACGUCGCCGCCACUUGUUGGGGAAAUUGAAAACAUAUUUGAAGUGGGUUUUCAGAGAGGAAAAAUGGGUUGAUGUUAGUUCCGGCUGGAUUUAUGUUAGUUCCGGCUGGGUUGUUGAGGUGUUGUUGGUGAGUAAAACUCCAACACGUGAAUAGUUUCAGGGAAGAAGAUGAUGGCAAAUUAACAAUUUAAAAUUCAAAUUUAUUUUGUUUUACAUUUAUUCAUUAAGUUAUGAUUUUAUGUGAUAUAAGUCCUAAAAAUUAGUGCCAUGUGGACCUCAACAUAUGGGAAGGAAUGCCACAUCACCUUUUUCUGUUAAAUAACGGAGAGUGAAUUACACUUUCCAUUUUCCGUCCACGUAAGGGUAUUAAAAUCGGGAUUUGGUAAGUAUAGGGACCCGAAUGUGAACAACUUUGGAGUAGGGACCUCUCGCAGAAAACUUGUAUAGUACAGGGGCCUCCGUAUGGGUUUUGCCUAGUCUUUAUUGUGAUGAAAAACGAUUCAGUUUCAUGUGGUUGAAAUCUAAUAUAUCGGUUCUCGAAUUCGAUUUUAUUUUUCUGAAUGUCUUAGUGUUAGCUUGUUGCUCUUCAUGCUUCGCUUUGCUCCGACGAUUGAGAGCUCGGCGGAACUUGUUGCUGCUCUUCCUAUUUCACGGUGCUCCGGCGAUUGAGAGUCCGGCGGAGCUUGUUGUUGCUUUUUCCCACAACUGAAAGUGUGUUUAGUGGUGAAAUAUUUGAAGUGGAGAGGCUAAUUGGUGCGUUGGAAGGGGUAUGGUCCAAGUGAAGACACUUGAGAGCCUAUUGAAGGCAUGAGGGAGAUGUUGAUUUUAUUCGUGGAGGCCCUCCAUGUCAAGAAAUCAGUGGCUUUAAUCUAUUCAGGAACACAAAAGCUCCCUUAGAUGAUCCCAAGGACCAUCAAAUGGUUAUAUAUAUGGAUGUUGUAGAGCAUUUAAAGCCAAAGUAUGUCCUUAUGGAAAAUGUUGUGGACAUUUCAAAGAUAUAUUGACUAUGACUUCUUUUACAUUCA